rnacentral:rRNA from 1 species
UACAGAGGUCCCAAGCGUUGUUCGGAUUUACUGGGCGUAAAGGGUGCGUAGGUGGCGAGGUAAGUUUGAUGUGAAAUCUCCGGGCUUAACCCGGAAAUGGCAUUGAAUACUAUUCGGCUAGAGGUUUGGAGGGGGGACUGGAAUUCUUGGUGUAGCAGUGAAAUGCGUAGAUAUCAAGAGGAGCACCAGUGGCGAAGGCGAGUCCCUGGACAACACCUGACACUGAGGCACGAAAGCUAGGGGAGCAAACAGG